rnacentral:rRNA from 1 species
UACAGAGGGGGCAAGCGUUGUUCGGAAUUACUGGGCGUAAAGGGCGCGUAGGCGGCCUUCUAAGUCGAACGUGAAAUCCCCGGGCUCAACCCGGGAACUGCGUCCGAGACUGGAAGGCUCGAAUCCGGGAGAGGGAUGUGGAAUUCCAGGUGUAGCGGUGAAAUGCGUAGAUAUCGGGAAGAACACCCGUGGCGAAGGCGGUUCUCUGGGACGGUACUGACGCUGAGACGCGAAAGCGUGGGGAGCGAACAGG